rnacentral:tRNA from 1 species
UGGGCCCUAGAAAGCUCCGCGAGCA